rnacentral:rRNA from 1 species
UACGAAGGGGGCUAGCGUUGCUCGGAAUUACUGGGCGUAAAGCGCACGUAGGCGGCUUUCUAAGUCGGGGGUGAAAUCCUGGAGCUCAACUCCAGAACUGCCUUCGAUACUGGAGAGCUCGAGUCCGGGAGAGGUGAGUGGAACUGCGAGUGUAGAGGUGAAAUUCGUAGAUAUCGAGAGGAACACCGGUGGCGAAGGCGGCUACCUGGACAGUGACUGACGCUGAGACGCGAAAGCGUGGGGAGCAAACAGG